rnacentral:miRNA from 1 species
UAUCCAUGUACCGUGUUUAUACUCAUAGGUGCUGCCUGACAUCCAGAAACCCACAGGACCCAGCACUCGGGAGGCAGAGGCAGGUGGAU